UACGGGAGGCAGCAGUGGGGAAUAUUGCACAAUGGGCGAAAGCCUGAUGCAGCUAUGCCGCGUGUAUGAAGAAGGCCUUAGGGUUGUAAAGUACUUUCAUCGGGGAGGAAAAAACAAAACUAAUAAUUUUAUUUCUUGACGUUACCCGAAAAAGAAGCACCGGCUAACUCCGUGCCAGCAGCCGCGGUAAUACGGAGGGUGCUAGCGUUAAUCAGAAUUACUGGGCGUAAAGAGCACGUAGGUGGUUUUUUUAAAGUCAGAUGUGAAAUCCCUGGGCUUAACCUAGGAACUGCAUUUUGAAACUGAAAUACUAGAGUAUCGUAGAGGGAGGUAGAAUUCUAGGUGUAGCGGUGAAAUGCGUAGAUAUCUGGAGGAAUACCUGUGGCGAAAGCGGCCUCCUAAACGAAUACUGACACUGAGGUGCGAAAGCGUGAGGGAGCAAACAGGGAUUAGAUACC
rnacentral:rRNA from 1 species